GAGAAAAGCCUCUAGAUAGAAAAUAGGUGCCCGUACCGCAAACCGACACAGGUAGUCAAGAUGAGAAUUCUAAGGUGAGCGAGCGAACUCUCGUUAAGGAACUCGGCAAAAUGACCCCGUAACUUCGGGAGAAGGGGUGCUCUUUAGGGUUAACGCCCAGAAGAGCCGCAGUGAAUAGGCCCAAGCGACUGUUUAUCAAAAACACAGGUCUCUGCUAAACCGUAAGGUGAUGUAUAGGGGCUGACGCCUGCCCGGUGCUGGAAGGUUAAGAGGAGUGGUUAGCUUCUGCGAAGCUACGAAUCGAAGCCCCAGUAAACGGCGGCCGUAACUAUAACGGUCCUAAGGUAGCGAAAUUCCUUGUCGGGUAAGUUCCGACCCGCACGAAAGGCGUAACGAUUUGGGCACUGUCUCAACGAGAGACUCGGUGAAAUCAUAGUACCUGUGAAGAUGCAGGUUACCCGCGACAGGACG
rnacentral:rRNA from 1 species